UAGGUUUACAAUGAAUUCCCGAUAGGACGGCCACAGACCAGGUCGGAAGCCUUGUAACCGAUACUGAAACAGGGGGAAUACAACAAAUG
rnacentral:sRNA from 2 species